AGCGUACACGGUGGAUGCCCUGGCAGUCAGAGGCGAUGAAGGACGUGCUAAUCUGCGAUAAGCGUCGGUAAGGUGAUAUGAACCGUUAUAACCGGCGAUUUCCGAAUGGGGAAACCCAGUGUGAUUCGUCACACUAUCAUUAACUGAAUCCAUAGGUUAAUGAGGCGAACCGGGGGAACUGAAACAUCUAAGUACCCCGAGGAAAAGAAAUCAACCGAGAUUCCCCCAGUAGCGGCGAGCGAACGGGGAGCAGCCCAGAGCCUGAAUCAGUGUGUGUGUUAGUGGAAGCGUCUGGAAAGGCGCGCGAUACAGGGUGACAGCCCCGUACACAAAAAUGCACAUACUGUGAGCUCGAUGAGUAGGGCGGGACACGUGGUAUCCUGUCUGAAUAUGGGGGGACCAUCCUCCAAGGCUAAAUACUCCUGACUGACCGAUAGUGAACCAGUACCGUGAGGGAAAGGCGAAAAGAACCCCGGCGAGGGGAGUGAAAAAGAACCUGAAACCGUGUACGUACAAGCAGUGGGAGCACAGAGCAAUCUGUGUGACUGCGUACCUUUUGUAUAAUGGGUCAGCGACUUAUAUUCUGUAGCAAGGUUAACCGAAUAGGGGAGCCGAAGGGAAACCGAGUCUUAACUGGGCGUUAAGUUGCAGGGUAUAGACCCGAAACCCGGUGAUCUAGCCAUGGGCAGGUUGAAGGUUGGGUAACACUAACUGGAGGACCGAACCGACUAAUGUUGAAAAAUUAGCGGAUGACUUGUGGCUGGGGGUGAAAGGCCAAUCAAACCGGGAGAUAGCUGGUUCUCCCCGAAAGCUAUUUAGGUAGCGCCUCGUGAAUUCAUCUCCGGGGGUAGAGCACUGUUUCGGCAAGGGGGUCAUCCCGACUUACCAACCCGAUGCAAACUGCGAAUACCGGAGAAUGUUAUCACGGGAGACACACGGCGGGUGCUAACGUCCGUCGUGAAGAGGGAAACAACCCAGACCGCCAGCUAAGGUCCCAAAGUCAUGGUUAAGUGGGAAACGAUGUGGGAAGGCCCAGACAGCCAGGAUGUUGGCUUAGAAGCAGCCAUCAUUUAAAGAAAGCGUAAUAGCUCACUGGUCGAGUCGGCCUGCGCGGAAGAUGUAACGGGGCUAAACCAUGCACCGAAGCUGCGGCAGCGACGCUUAUGCGUUGUUGGGUAGGGGAGCGUUCUGUAAGCCUGUGAAGGUGUGCUGUGAGGCAUGCUGGAGGUAUCAGAAGUGCGAAUGCUGACAUAAGUAACGAUAAAGCGGGUGAAAAGCCCGCUCGCCGGAAGACCAAGGGUUCCUGUCCAACGUUAAUCGGGGCAGGGUGAGUCGACCCCUAAGGCGAGGCCGAAAGGCGUAGUCGAUGGGAAACAGGUUAAUAUUCCUGUACUUGGUGUUACUGCGAAGGGGGGACGGAGAAGGCUAUGUUGGCCGGGCGACGGUUGUCCCGGUUUAAGCGUGUAGGCUGGUUUUCCAGGCAAAUCCGGAAAAUCAAGGCUGAGGCGUGAUGACGAGGCACUACGGUGCUGAAGCAACAAAUGCCCUGCUUCCAGGAAAAGCCUCUAAGCAUCAGGUAACAUCAAAUCGUACCCCAAACCGACACAGGUGGUCAGGUAGAGAAUACCAAGGCGCUUGAGAGAACUCGGGUGAAGGAACUAGGCAAAAUGGUGCCGUAACUUCGGGAGAAGGCACGCUGAUAUGUAGGUGAAGUCCCUCGCGGAUGGAGCUGAAAUCAGUCGAAGAUACCAGCUGGCUGCAACUGUUUAUUAAAAACACAGCACUGUGCAAACACGAAAGUGGACGUAUACGGUGUGACGCCUGCCCGGUGCCGGAAGGUUAAUUGAUGGGGUCAGCGCAAGCGAAGCUCUUGAUCGAAGCCCCGGUAAACGGCGGCCGUAACUAUAACGGUCCUAAGGUAGCGAAAUUCCUUGUCGGGUAAGUUCCGACCUGCACGAAUGGCGUAAUGAUGGCCAGGCUGUCUCCACCCGAGACUCAGUGAAAUUGAACUCGCUGUGAAGAUGCAGUGUACCCGCGGCAAGACGGAAAGACCCCGUGAACCUUUACUAUAGCUUGACACUGAACAUUGAGCCUUGAUGUGUAGGAUAGGUGGGAGGCUUUGAAGUGUGGACGCCAGUCUGCAUGGAGCCGACCUUGAAAUACCACCCUUUAAUGUUUGAUGUUCUAACGUUGACCCGUGAUCCGGGUUGCGGACAGUGUCUGGUGGGUAGUUUGACUGGGGCGGUCUCCUCCUAAAGAGUAACGGAGGAGCACGAAGGUUGGCUAAUCCUGGUCGGACAUCAGGAGGUUAGUGCAAUGGCAUAAGCCAGCUUGACUGCGAGCGUGACGGCGCGAGCAGGUGCGAAAGCAGGUCAUAGUGAUCCGGUGGUUCUGAAUGGAAGGGCCAUCGCUCAACGGAUAAAAGGUACUCCGGGGAUAACAGGCUGAUACCGCCCAAGAGUUCAUAUCGACGGCGGUGUUUGGCACCUCGAUGUCGGCUCAUCACAUCCUGGGGCUGAAGUAGGUCCCAAGGGUAUGGCUGUUCGCCAUUUAAAGUGGUACGCGAGCUGGGUUUAGAACGUCGUGAGACAGUUCGGUCCCUAUCUGCCGUGGGCGCUGGAGAAUUGAGGGGGGCUGCUCCUAGUACGAGAGGACCGGAGUGGACGCAUCACUGGUGUUCGGGUUGUCAUGCCAAUGGCACUGCCCGGUAGCUAAAUGCGGAAGAGAUAAGUGCUGAAAGCAUCUAAGCACGAAACUUGCCCCGAGAUGAGUUCUCCCUGACUCCUUGA
rnacentral:rRNA from 1 species